UACGUAGGGUGCAAGCGUUGUCCGGAAUUAUUGGGCGUAAAGAGCUCGUAGGCGGUCUGUCACGUCGGCUGUGAAAUCCCGAGGCCCAACCUCGGGUCUGCAGUCGAUACGGGCAAACUAGAGUAUUGCAGGGGAGACUGGAAUUCCUGGUGUAGCGGUGAAAUGCGCAGAUAUCAGGAGGAACACCGGUGGCGAAGGCGGGUCUCUGGGCAAUAACUGACGCUGAGGAGCGAAAGCGUGGGGAGCGAACAGG
rnacentral:rRNA from 1 species